GGAAAAAAGCUAUAUGCGACCACUGCGUGAAGAAGUGAAUCAAUGUAAAGUGUAUAUCUAUAUUAUAUAAAAAGAAUAUUCGCAUGCAUACAUUGUAUAUUUAAAGGUUAAUACUUGGUAUUCAAAUUCUUCCUUGAUUUACCUUUGAGAUGAUUUAUUUAUCUUUAAUACAGCAGUAUUGGCGACUGCUGCACAAGUUGUGUUAUAUACAUAUUGUUUUGAUGUUAUCUUGCCUGCCUCUGAUUGAUGGGAGUUGGUUUUAUUUUUAUUUGGCUUUUUUUCAUUCUGAUCACCAUUUACCUAUUUCACGGUGCUCAUAUUGUUCGUUCACAAUUUUACGCUCCCACCUAUAGAGGCAGCACAUUACUCUAUUUCUUACUAUAUAUAUUUCUCAUUAUUUCCUCCAUAUUCUGUUUAUAUAAUAUAGAUAUACACUUUACAUUGAUUCACUUCUUCAUGUACUGGUCACAUACAGCUUUUUUUCUGUCACUCGGUAGUUUGUUACUUAGCAACAGACAGUAUGAAGCUUGGCGUUGCACAUCAUCACGUCACGGGAG